GACGGAGGUGGCAAACGUUGCUCGGAAUCACUGGGCUUAAAGGGCGUGUAGGCGGCAGAUCAAGUCGGAUGUGAAAUCUCUCGGCUCAACCGAGAAACUGCAUUCGAUACUGGUCAGCUAGAGUGCGAGAGGGGUGAGUGGAACUCCAGGUGUAGCGGUGAAAUGCGUAGAUAUCUGGAGGAACGCCGGUGGCGAAAGCGACUCACUGGCUCGCAACUGACGCUGAGGCGCGAAAGCUAGGGGAGCGAAC
rnacentral:rRNA from 1 species